GAUACGUUAGGUGCCCUUCGGGGAAAGUAGAGACAGGUGGUGCAUGGUUGUCGUCAGCUCGUGUCGUGAGAUGUUGGGUUAAGUCCCGCAACGAGCGCAACCCUUAAGCUUAGUUGCCAUCAUUAAGUUGGGCACUCUAGGUUGACUGCCGGUGACAAACCGGAGGAAGGUGGGGAUGACGUCAAAUCAUCAUGCCCCUUAUGAUUUGGGCUACACACGUGCUACAAUGGAUAAUACAAAGGGCAGCGAACCCGCGAGGUCAAGCAAAUCCCAUAAAAUUAUUCUCAGUUCGGAUUGUAGUCUGCAACUCGACUACAUGAAGCUGGAAUCGCUAGUAAUCGUAGAUCAGCAUGCUACGGUGAAUACGUUCCCGGGUCUUGUACACACCGCCCGUCACACCACGAGAGUUUGUAACACCCGAAGCCGGUGGAGUAACCUUUUAUUAGGAGCUAGCCGUCGAAGGUGGGACAGAUGAUUGGGGUGAAGUCGUAACAAGGUAGCCGUAUCGGAAGG
rnacentral:rRNA from 1 species